rnacentral:snoRNA from 1 species
AAUCCAUGAUGAGGGCAUUAGGUUUAUAACCCUUGAAGCGCUCCCAAGCUUCACAUAAGCUUUCAUUUUGCUUCUGAGUGAAUCCGGAUAUAUCAUUCCGUAGUCU